UGCCAGCCGCCGCGGUAAUACGAAGGGGGCUAGCGUUGUUCGGAAUUACUGGGCGUAAAGCGUACGUAGGCGGAUUAGAAAGUUAGGGGUGAAAUCCCAGGGCUCAACCCUGGAACUGCCUCUAAAACUCCUAAUCUUGAGUUCGAGAGAGGUGAGUGGAAUUCCGAGUGUAGAGGUGAAAUUCGUAGAUAUUCGGAGGAACACCAGUGGCGAAGGCGGCUCACUGGCUCGAUACUGACGCUGAGGUACGAAAGCGUGGGGAGCAAACAGGAUUAGAUA
rnacentral:rRNA from 1 species